CGCAUAUUUCGCAGCGGCGGAGCUCGACCGCCCGUUUCGCAAAUGAUCGUGUUCAUCGACGAUCACCGUCGUGUCCAUGGUGUCGAGCCGAUCUGCCGGGUUCUGGGGAUCGCACCA
rfam:Loktanella vestfoldensis strain SMR4r plasmid pSMR4r-1, complete sequence.